CGGGGUGAGUAACGCGUGGAUAACCUGCCUCAUACAGGGGGAUAACAGUUAGAAAUGACUGCUAAUACCGCAUAAGCGCACAGGACCGCAUGGUCCGGUGUGAAAAACUCCGGUGGUAUGGGAUGGAUCCGCGUCUGAUUAGCUGGUUGGUGAGGUAACGGCCCACCAAGGCGACGAUCAGUAGCCGACCUGAGAGGGUGGCCGGCCACAUUGGGACUGAGACACGGCCCAAACUCCUACGGAAGGCAGCAG
rnacentral:rRNA from 1 species